rnacentral:tRNA from 3 species
GGAGAGGUGCCCGUAGUGGCCUAUCGGGGUCCGGGUGUCCAACUCGGUCGGGCUUCGGCCCACGCAGGUUCGAAUCCUGCCCUCUCCG